rnacentral:rRNA from 1 species
CUUUGGGAUAACCCUCGGAAACGGGGGCUAAUACCGGAUAUGACUUCUCACCGCAUGGUGGGGGGUGGAAAGUUUUUCGGCUUGGGAUGGGCUCGCGGCCUAUCAGCUUGUUGGUGGGGUGAUGGCCUACCAAGGCGACGACGGGUAGCCGGCCUGAGAGGGCGACCGGCCACACUGGGACUGAGACACGGCCCAGACUCCUACGGGAGGCAGCAGUGGGGAAUAUUGCACAAUGGGCGCAAGCCUGAUGCAGCGACGCCGCGUGAGGGAUAACGGCCUUCGGGUUGUAAACCUCUUUCAGCAGGGACGAAGCGUAAGUGACGGUACCUGCAGAAGAAGCGCCGGCCAACUACGUGCCAGCAGCCGCGGUAAGACGUAGGGCGCGAGCGUUGUCCGGAUUUAUUGGGCGUAAAGAGCUCGUAGGCGGUUUGUCGCGUCGACUGUGAAAACCCGCAGCUCAACUGCGGGCCUGCAGCCGAUACGGGCAGGCUAGAGUUCGGUAGGGGAGACUGGAAUUCCUGGUGUAGCGGUGAAAUGCGCAGAUAUCAGGAGGAACACCGGUGGCGAAGGCGGGUCUCUGGGCCGAUACUGACGCUGAGGAGCGAAAGCGUGGGGAGCGAACAGGAUUAGAUACCCUGGUAGUCCACGCUGUAAACGUUGGGCGC